UUUCCGUAGGUGAACCUGCGGAAGGAUCAUUAUUGAAUAAACCUGAUGUGGCUGUUAGCUGGCUUUUCGAAGCAUGUGCUCGUCCGUCAUCUUUAUCUCUCCACCUGUGCACACUUUGUAGUCUUGGAUACCUCUCGAGGCAACUCGGAUUUUAGGGUCGCUGUGCUGUACAAGUCGGCUUUCCUUUCAUUUCCAAGACUAUGUUUUUAUAUACACCAAAGUAUGUUUAAAGAAUGUCAUCAAUAGGAACUUGUUUCCUAUAUAAUUAUACAACUUUCAACAACGGAUCUCUUGGCUCUC
rnacentral:misc_RNA from 1 species